GAAUUUUAUGGAACCUUGUAUUCUGUUGAAUACCAGAAUUAUAUCAGCAAUCCCAAAGUCACCAAAUGGGCAUCAUCAUGACAGCAGACCGUGAUCAUGGGCUACAUUCUCCGUACCAGCUUCAUAGCUCCAGUGAGAAAAUAAAUUCCUGCAUCCAGGAGAUGUGGAGUAAGAGAUACAGCUGCCCUUGACCAUAUUUCUUACUUCCGAGAAGAUCGUAGCAGUAAUUCAGGUUAUUGGGGAACAGGUGGUUUGGGUUACAUGAAAUCUCAUCCAGGAUACCUCAUCACAGGCUGGAGUGCAGUGUCAUGAGCUUGGCUCACUACAGCCUCCAUCUUCUGUGCUUAAGGAUCCUUCCCUCUCAACCUCCAAGGUAGCUGAGACUACAGGUAUGUGCCACCAUGCUGGACUAAUUUAUUGUUGUUGUUGUUGUUUGUUAGAUUUUUGGUAGAGGCAAGGUUUCACCAUGUUGCCCAGGCCAGAGUCAAACUCCUGGGCUCAAGUGAUAUUUAUUUUGUUAUAGAGAUGGGGUCUUAAUGUGGUGCCCAGGCUAGUCUGGGAUUACAGGUGUGAGCCACUGUGCCUUGCCAAAAACUGCCAUUCUCAUCAUAUCGUACCAAGAGUACAAACUCAACAAGGGUACAAACUGUCAACCAGAGUAGACAUUCAUUAUUGGCAGAAUGUCUACAAAUUCCUUUAAACCUUCACCAUAAACAUGUGCCUACUCUCUUCCAAUUAUUUCAUGUGUAUUAAUUUAUUCAUUUAUACAUGCAUCUUUUAUUUAUAUCAUUAUCUAAAUAUGGAGAUUUAUUUUACAAUGCGUAUGUGCUAUUUUUUUUUUUUUGAGACAGAGCCUUUCUCUGUUGCCCAGGCUGGAGUGCAAUGGUGCGAUCUCAGCUCAUCGCAACCUCUGCCCCCUGGGUUCAAGCGAUUCUAGUGCCUCAGUUUCCUGACUGGCUGGGAUUACAGGCAUGAGACACUACACCUGGCUAAGUUUUGUGUUUUUAGUAGAGACAGGGUUUCACCAUGUUGGCCAGGUUGGUCUUAAACUCCAUACCUCAGAUGAUCCACCCUCCUCGGCCUCCCAAAGUGCUGGGAUUACAGGCAUGAGCCACCAUGCUUGGCCGCUAUUUUUUUUUUUAAUUGCACAAAUUGUUCCAGUGUUGGCUAUUGGAAGGUUUUUAAGUUGUCUCUUGUAUCACUUUGAAAUACCUCCAUAAUUAAAGUUUGAUGUUGUGUGGUUGGUUGGUUUUGUUGUUGUUUGGCAUUUUCUUUUGUUCAGUCACUAUUAUAUGCUCCAGUCUAUGAAUUUAAUUGUGCUCCAGGGUAAUUUGGUAAUUUUAUAAUUUCUACGAAUGUUUCCAACACCAUAUGACCUAAUCCAGCACCAUAUAAAUGGAUCCACUCAUUCUCUCAUUUGUAUGUAAUCUAGCACUCCCUGCAAGCAAGUUGAUGUUGUUAAUUUAAUCAUGCUACCUGAACAAGGUAUAUUGCUAUGUAGAAAAAUACAAGUUGAAACAGUCAAAAUACUGUGUAAUUCCAUUCAUAUGACUCUGUAGAAAAGGAAAAAGUGUAGUGAUAGUAGAGUUCAGUGGUAACAAGGGGCUUGGGAGAGAUAUAGGUGACAUCAGUGAACUACCGAAGAUUUCUUUUGGGCAGUGAAAUUCCUCUUUGAUACUGUAACGGUGGAUACAUCAUAAUGUUUUCCAAAUCCUGAAGAACUUUGUAACACAAAGAGUGUAGCUAAUUUAUGCAAAUUAAAAACCUUAUUUAGGAGGUCACAAGUUUGCCUUUUCACAGUAUUUUACCUUUUCCAACUUAUAUUUUUUAGCAAUAUGCUUUUUAGAUUUUUGAAGUACACCUCAUGGUUUUUAGAUUUGCCUUCACCUAAUUGUUGUAGGACAGGUGAGUCACACAAUUGGGGCUUAUCCUGAGAGGGUUAUUAGCUUUGUCCAGGAAAGAAUUUAAGGGCAAGUGGGUGAUGUUAGACUGCAAUAUUUUAUUGAAUGGUACUGCUCCUAGCAGAGCAGGGCUAACUCUUAAGCAGUGUGUUCAGAGUUGGCAACAUAUAGGCCUCCUGGCAACUGUGUUUAUAUGCAAUCAAACCCACUUUUAAUUAUAUGCAAAUUGAGGGGCAGAUCAAUGCAAAUUGAGGCAGGAAAGGGGCAGUGACUUCUAGGUUGUCUCCAUGGAAAGGGGCAGUAACUUCUGAGCUGUAGCCAUGGAAUUUGUAAACAGUUAUGUGGUUGGUAGGAGUGUCAUAUGAGUGACAAAUGAAGACUGCCAGGGAUCACAUUUACCACAAUGUACACGCUUCUGUCAGUUUUUUCCCUUUAUCCUGUCUGGAGCAGAUCUUAUUUUGGUCAUCAAGGUUGUGAAACCAGAAAACAAGUCCUUCCAGUCUCCUACCUCAUAAUGACAAAAGACAUUGAGCAUAAUUUCAUGUGAUUUUGGAUAUGACUAUGGCUUUCUUUUGAGAGUUGGCUAUUUAAGAUUUUGCCAUUUUUGAUUGGGAUAUUUGCCUUUUUAAUUUUGAGUUGUAAGACAUUGUAUAUUCUGGAUAAUAGACCAUUAUCACCUAUAAAAUUUGCAAUUUUCACAUAUUUUCUGCCAUUCUUUGGGUGCCUCUUUAUAUUUGAUGGUGGACUUUAAAUUGCAAAAGAUUUUAAUUCUAAUGAAGUUUAAUAUUUCUAUAUUUUCUUCUUUCCUUUGUGCUUUUCAGUGUCAUAUCUUAAAACAUUGUUUAACCAGAGACCACAAAGAUGUAUUCCUGUGUUCCUUUUUAUGGGUUGGCCCUGUUUAGCUCUUAUAUUUAGAUGGAUUAUCAUUUUGAGUCAAUUAUGUUUCUGGUAUGAGGCAAGAGUCUAACUUGCAUGUGGAUAUCCACUUGACCCACAAACAUUUGACAAGAAAAUAUUGCUUCAUACCUAAUUUAUUUGGCCACAGUAUAAAAGCAUUUCACCAUAAAUGUAGGGAUUCAUUUUUCAGUAUUAUAUUCUCUACUCCAUUGAUCAAUACAUAUAUCCCUAUACUAGUACCACAAAUCUUGAUUACUAUUACUUUGUAGUAAGUUUUGCAAUCAAGAAGCAUAUGUCUACUAUGCAAACCCUUUUUGUCCUUCUCAAGAGUGUUUUGGCUGCUCAUGAUCUAUAUUAUAUAUAAUUUUAGGAUAAACUUCUGAAUUUAGGGGAAGGUAAUGCCACCUGGUGUUUUGAGAGAAGUUGCAUUAAUUCUAUAGAUCCAUUUGGAAAAUAUUGCCAACCUAACAAUAUGCAUUCUGUAGUUUUUAGUGUACAUAUCUUAUACUUAAUUUGAUAAGGUUAUUCCUAAGUAUUUUUGAUGUGAUCUUAAUUGGAACGAUUUUCUGAGUUUUGUUUUUAGAUUGUUAAUUGCUAGUAUAGAGAAAUUUAAAAUAUUUUAUAUAUUUUAUAUGCUGCAAACUUCUUUGAACUCAUCUUUAAAUUCUAAACAUAUUUGAUAGAGUCCUUUGGACUUUUUAUACAUGAGAUCAUGUCAUUUGCAAACAGUCGGAGUUUGACUUCCUUUCCAUACUAGAAACGUUAUAUUUAUUUUUCUAAAUGAAUUGCCCUGUCUACAUUCUCCAGUACAAUGUUGCGAACAAGUGUCAACAGUGGAAAUAUUUGACUUCUUUCUAAUAUCAGAGAAAUUAGUGAACCUUUCAGAUUACUUAUGAUGAUAUGUGAGCUUUUCAUAGAUGCCCUUUGAAAUGAAGAAAGUUCUCUUAUCUGCCUAAUUUGCUGCAUGUUUUUAUAAUACUGAAUCUGGGAAUUUUCAAGUGCUUGUUGCACACCUUCUGAGACGAUUGUGUAGUUUUUAUUCUUUAUUAAUAUAGUGUAUGACAUUAAUUGUAUCAUAUGUUGAACCAAAUUUGCAUUCCUGAGGUAAAUACCUUUUGCCAUAGUUUAUAAUACUUUCUACAUGUUGCUGAUUUCAUUUGAUAAUAUCUCGCUGCUGAUUUUUGUCUCUGUAUUUAUAAGGCAUAUUGGUCUUCAUUCUCCUUAUUUGAAAUGUCUUUGUGUAGUUGUUCAAUCAGGGUAAACUAAUUCAUAGUAUACAAUGGGAAGUGAUCUAUUUUCUACUUCUUUAUUAUUAUUGUAUUGUUUUGAAAUAUUUUUGAUAAAUUAGUAUUAAUUUUAAGUGAUUUUAAUAACACAUCAAUGAGUUCCUGAUGAGGGCAGGGAGGUGAAUCCUAAGAACAAUCAUGUGAGUUUGGAAGGAGACCCUUCCCCAGCUGAGCCUCAGCCUGAGCCAUCCCCUACAUCUAGACCGAAGACCCAGAGAAACCGUGAGUAGUAUGUGUGUGGUUCUGAGCCACUAAGGUAUGUAGUAAUUUGUUAUGCACCAAGUAGUAAGUAAUAUACCUGACAGUAAUUGUUAGGUGGUAUUCUGGAUUAGGUCCUGGAAUAGAUAAGUAUAUGAUUAUUAGAAAACCUGGUAAAAUAUGAAGGAAGUUUGUAGAUCAGUUAAUAGUCUUGAAAAACAGUUAAAUUCUUAGUUUUCAUGAAUAUGCUAUGGUUACAAUAUAUAUUAACAUUCUAGUUAUCUGAAUGGUAUAUGAAACUGUCUGUACUUACCUAUGUGCAUUUAUGUAAAUCUGCAGUUAUUUCAAAAUAAAUAUGUUUUUUAAUAUUAUUAUUAUUUUUUUAAGAAAAGUAAGCAAGUAAAGACAUCAGCAAAAAACUUUUGCCUCCAGAUACAAGUGGGCAUGUAGGGAGAGAAUAGUAAACUGGCUUUUCUUUUCUUUUCUAGGCAACAUUCGAAACCCAGGUGCCACUCCUUCAGGAAGGUACCAUCAAGCUCCAAGGACUCAUCCUCUUUCUCCUUCCCCACUACCUAGUCAUUAGAGCGUCAGCAUCCACUUCCUGAAAGGAAGAUGCCUGUUUUUCACAUAUCCCAGAAAGCCUCAUUUUAGGACAGCAUUUAGCAGAGUGUAUUCAGGAUCCCACUAACCUUUUCGGAAGACAUGACUUCCAGAUGAUAUAAGGCUCCAUCAGGAACUGUGCAGGACUGUGCACUCUGUUGAUACUCACAUGGUGGAAUUAUAUUGCCCUUGGCCAACCCUAAAGCCAUCAAGAUAGCAGGUUUGGAAUAAUUCACUGUCGAAGUCUUCUUGAGCUGAGCAGUCAUGUGAGCUUGGAAGAUGAUCCCUCUCCAGCUGAUCCUUCAGCUCAGGCCAUCAUCUACAUCUGGAUUCCUGACCCGGAGAAACUAUGAGUAAUGUGUGCUGCUUUUGAGCCACUAAGCUACAUGAAUUAAUGAAGGAUCAUUAUUAAGUUUUUAAUGGGUCAAGAGAAAGUUACCACUGAGGUCUUCUCUACCUGGGCAACAAUUGACUCCUAACAACCACUAUAAGCUUGGAAGAUGAUCCCUCCCCAGCUGAUCCUUCAGUUCACAUGAAGCAUUUGGAAGUAAACACACGAUGGACUGAACACUUUGCUGCUUAGAAACUUCUUCUUCCAGAUUCCCUAGUUCAUCAUUAAGUAGUUAGGCCUCUCACAAAGCCCUUGGUCACGGAUACAGGUCAGCCGUUCUUUACCCAAUCAAAACAGGGAUGGCCUUUACUGCAGUUACUAAUAUCUUGUUUUUUAGUUUCAUCUGACAUUUUGUCAGAAUGGCCCUUAUGUCAGUAUUUCUAUCAGCAGUGAGGACUAAACUCUGAUUUUUUUAUCUUGCCCAAAUUCCUAUCUAAAAGGUCUGGGGAGUCAUGCCCUACAAAUGAUAAAUUCUCAUCAGAUGGGUUUUAUUUGACCCUGUAUAUCGUGACUUACUUUCCAACCUGACUGUGGCAUAACAUUACAAAAGAAGGAAGAAAAUCAAAAUAUUUUACUCCAAAAACAUGUUUCUUUGUUGCAUUUUGAAAUGGUCCUGCAAGCCAUCCUUUGUGGAGGAAAAUUCACGUCUGUAAAGAAUCUCUAUUAGCCUCUAUAUCUAUAGAGGUUAAUAUAUAUCUAUAUGUUAGCCUCUAUAUAUAUAAUAUAAUAUAAUCUAUAUCUAUAACCUCUAUAUCUAUAUCUGUAAAGAAUCUCUAUUAACCUCUAUAUCGAGGUAUAAUCUCUAUACCUCGACCUUUGUCUGUCAGGCCCUUCCAAUUCUGAAUAGAUUAGGUAAGAGUGUAGCACCUUUUAAAGUCUGAAUAGGCAACAUUUGUCAUCUAUUAUCUCUAAGUGCAAUGGCUAUGAGACUUCAAAAGAACCUUGGUCUCCAAAGUCUUUUGUCUUAACCUGAACAUUUCCUUUCUAUUGAUCCCAG
rnacentral:lncRNA from 1 species